UGGGGAAUAUUGCACAAUGGACGAAAGUCUGAUGCAGCAACGCCGCGUGGAGGAUGACACAUUUCGGUGCGUAAACUCCUUUUAUAUGGGAAGAUAAUGACGGUACCAUAUGAAUAAGCACCGGCUAACUCCGUGCCAGCAGCCGCGGUAAUACGGAGGGUGCAAGCGUUACUCAGAAUCACUGGGCGUAAAGAGCGUGUAGGCGGAUAUAUAAGUCAGAAGUGAAAUCCAAUAGCUUAACUAUUGAACUGCUUUUGAAACUGUAUAGCUAGAAUGUGGGAGAGGUAGAUGGAAUUUCUGGUGUAGGGGUAAAAUCCGUAGAGGUCAGAAGGAAUACCGAUUGCGAAGGCGAUCUACUGGAACAUUAUUGACGCUGAGACGCGAAAGCGUGGGGAGCAAACA
rnacentral:rRNA from 1 species